AGAAAGAUAAGCUAAUUAAGCUAAUGGGUUCAUACCCCAUCUAUAGAGGUCUACUCCUCUUCUCUCUA
rnacentral:tRNA from 1 species